UUAGUGGCGAAGGGUGAGUAACACGUGAGUAACCUGCCCUUGACUCUGGGAAAAGCCUGGGAAACUGGGUCUAAUACCGGAAUGACCUUCCAUCGCAGGUGGUUGGUGGAAAGCUUUUGUGGUUUUGGAUGGACUCACGGCCUAUCACCUUGUUGGUGGGGUAAUGGCCUACCAGGGCAACAACUGGUAGCCGGCCUGAAAGGGUGACCGGCCACACUGGGACUGAAACACGGCCCAAACUCCUACGGGAGGCAGCAUUGGGGAAUAUUGCACAAUGGGCGCAGGCCUGAUGCACCGACCCCCCGGGAGGGAUGACGGCCUUCGGGUUGUAAACCUCUUUCAGUAGGGAA
rnacentral:rRNA from 1 species